rnacentral:rRNA from 1 species
UGAGGGAUAUUGGUCAAUGGGCGCAAGCCUGAACCAGCGACGCCGCGUGGGUGAAGAAGGUCUUCGGAUCGUAAAGCCCUUUUCCACUGAAGAGGAAGGACGGUAGGUGGGGAAGAAGUCUCGGCUAACUACGUGCCAGCAGCCGCGGUAAAACGUAGGAGACAAGCGUUAUCCGGAGUUACUGGGCGUAACGGGCGUGCAGGUGGCGUCUUAAGUCUGUUGUGAAAGCGCCUGGCUUAACCGGGCGAGGCCAAUGGAGACUGAGAGGCUGGAGGACGGCGGAGGGGUGUGGAAUUCCGGGUGUAGUGGUGAAAUGCGUAGAGAUCCGGAGGAACACCAGAGGCGAAGGCGGCACUCUAAGCCGUACCUGACACUGAGACGCGACAGCACGGGGAGCAAACG